AUUUUGGACAUUGGGGGCAACCCUGAUCCAGCCAUCCCGCGUGUGCUAUGAAGGCCUUCGUGUGGUAAGGCACUUUUGGCAUGGCAGAAAAGGCUCUGGCGACUACCUUGAGCUUCUGACGGUACCUGCAGAAUAAUCACCGGCUCACUACGUGCCAGCAGCCGCGGUAAUACGUAGGGUGCAAGCGUUAAUCGGAAUUACUGGGCGUAAAGCGUGCGCAGGCGGUUCGGCAAGAAGGAUGUGAAAUCCCAGGGCUUAACCUUGGAACUGCAUUCUUAACUGCCGGGCUAGAGUAUGUCAGAGGGGGGUAGAAUUCCGCGUGUAGCAGUGAAAUGCGUAGAGAUGCGGAGGAAUACCGAUGGCGAAGGCAGCCCCCUGGGAUAAUACUGACGCUCAUGCACGAAAGCGUGGGGAGCAAAC
rnacentral:rRNA from 1 species